ensembl:lncRNA
GACCUUCUGGUGUGCCUUGUUUAGGAAAGGUGUUAGACCAGCCUCUUACCUACCUAAUCAGCUAGUCCAGACAGUGGGGUGUUUCUCAAUUGGGCAACUCCCCAUGUCUUUCAACUGGGCUCUUCCAGUAUUUUUUCAACUGGGGGUGCUGUGGCGGGGUGCGCACCUAUUAGACAUCACCAAAUACAACUCAGGAUUGUCAACCAAUCAAUAGUCAGAAGGUUCAAAAACCAGGAAAGGCUCACCCAAAUUCACCAGAACUUUCUGAGGAGGUGGACAGGCACAAGAGGCCUCUGCUGGAACAAGGCUCAGGUUCUCAUAGUGUUCAAGGAAAGCUUCAGUGGGUAGAGAAGGACAAGAUUUUGGCCAGCAGCAUGUGGAGGACUGAAGCCUGGGAUACAAUCUCUCAGAUAACUGAGGGACUAUUCCAAAGAGAUAAGAGAGACUCCAGGAUAUACAGGAGUUUUUGGAAAACAAAACCAAACCAGCCAGGCUUCAAAAGUAUGUGAACCAUGAACUUCCAGAUGUUCAACCUGGAUUUAGAAAAGGCAGAGGAACCAGUGAUCAAAUUGCCAACAUCCACUGGAUCAUCGAAAAAGCAAGAGAGUUCCUGAAAAACAUCUACUUCUGCUUUAUUGACUAUGCCAAAGCCUUGGACUGUGUGGAUCACAAUAAAC